rnacentral:lncRNA from 1 species
GGAGGAGGUUCCUUUCGAAACCUCUGAACUCUUCCUCUCUAUCUCUCGCUCUCUCUCUCUUGUUGAGCUCCUUGAUUCUUCUUUACUGUUGCCUAGUCUCCUCUCUGACUUGACUGUCGGAGGGUCCCCGUCGGAGUCACCUCCAGUCAGUGCGGACUUCUUUUGUAGGCGCUCGCUCCCGACGAUCAGGCGACGAGGGGAUUGGCCACAACAGGUUUGGCACGCCAGGAAGGGGUUCAACGACAGGGAUUACGACCCCUACAGAAUUCGAAAUAUUCUUUCGAGAUGACAAUAACCAGAGCUCAGUGAUCGAGGGCCAUCGGAUCGGCAAGACACUCUUCCCAUCGGGAAGAUGCCUCUCCUCCACCCUCCAUGGUGGAACCUAGCUCUCCGCUUCCCGUGGUGACCACGGAGGCGCAGAUCGCGACGAUCGUACGGUAGAUGACCGUACUGGCGGACACGGUCAAGAGCCUUCAACAACAACCAAUCCGGUUGCCGCACUCACCGGUAGAGCAACCGACGGCACACCCGAUGCCCUCCAGGAGCAGCCGCCGACGCCCGCGUCAGUCUACAUCCCCUCCUCGAGAGCAGCUGUCACAGCACUCCCACCGAGAGGAGGAGAGGCAGCCACGGCUUGAUAUCCAUCGGUCUCGACGACCAUCUCCUUUCCAACUGGAACAAGUAAGGAAGGAGAAGCGGCCGUGAACACCGUCUGCCUCCCUCUCAGAUUCAUCGGGAGACUCCACCCCCGGGGUCUCUCAGCACCGACGGGCCGACGACUACGAACGCAGGUUCGAAGAAAUCGACUGUCGGCUAACCCAGCUGCAGGUAGACGGACAGAAGUCCUCGAAUGACAUCAACUUUCAGACCGCCCAACCUCUCUCCCGACUCAUCCUCGACGAGCUGAUUCCUAGUCGGUUCAAGAUGCCCCAUGUGGAGCCCUAUGACGGCUCCACUGACCCAGUUGACCACCU